ACCUGGCUGGCUCAGUCGGUAGAGCAUGGGACUCAUGACCUCAGGGUUAUGAGUUCAAACCCCACGUUGGGCA
rnacentral:tRNA from 1 species